AUUGAACGCUGGCGGCAGGCCUAACACAUGCAAGUCGAGCGGGGUUUUCGGACCUAGCGGCGGACGGGUGAGUAAUGCGUAGGAAGCUACCCGAUAGAGGGGGAUACCAGUUGGAAACGACUGUUAAUACCGCAUAAUGUCUACGGACCAAAGUGUGGGACCUUCGGGCCACAUGCUAUCGGAUGCGCCUACGUGGGAUUAGCUAGUUGGUGAGGUAAUGGCUCACCAAGGCGACGAUCCCUAGCUGGUUUGAGAGGAUGAUCAGCCACACUGGAGCUGAGACACGGUCCAGACUGCUACGGGAGGCAGCAGUGGGGAAUAUUGGACAAUGGGCGCAAGCCUGAUCCAGCCAUGCCGCGUGUGUGAAGAAGGCCUUCGGGUUGUAAAGCACUUUUAGUAGGGAGGAAGCGUUGAGUGUUAAUAGUACUCAGCGUUGACGUUACCUACAGAAGAAGCACCGGCUAACUCUGUGCCAGCCGCCGCCGUAACAC
rnacentral:rRNA from 1 species